rnacentral:rRNA from 1 species
AUUGAACGCUGGCGGCAGGCCUAACACAUGCAAGUCGAAUGGUAACAGGAAACAGCUUGCUGUUUCGCUGACGAGUGGCGGACGGGUGAGUAAUGUCUGGGAAACUGCCUGAUGGAGGGGGAUAACUACUGGAAACGGUAGCUAAUACCGCAUAACGUCGCAAGACCAAAGAGGGGGACCUUCGGGCCUCUUGCCAUCAGAUGUGCCCAGAUGGGAUUAGCUAGUAGGUGGGGUAACGGCUCACCUAGGCGACGAUCCCUAGCUGGUCUGAGAGGAUGACCAGCCACACUGGAACUGAGACACGGUCCAGACUCCUACGGGAGGCAGCAGUGGGGAAUAUUGCACAAUGGGCGCAAGCCUGAUGCAGCCAUGCCGCGUGUAUGAAGAAGGCCUUCGGGUUGUAAAGUACUUUCAGCGGGGAGGAAGGGAGUAAAGUUAAUACCUUUUCUCAUUGACGUUACCCGCAGAAGAAGCACCGGCUAACUCCGUG